UACGUAGGGUGCGAGCGUUAAUCGGAAUUACUGGGCGUAAAGCGUGCGCAGACGGUUGCGUAAGUCAGAUGUGAAAGCCCCGGGCUCAACCUGGGAAUUGCAUUUGAGACUGCGUAGCUAGGGUGCGGAAGAGGGAAGCGGAAUUUCCGGUGUAGCGGUGAAAUGCGUGGAUAUCGGAAGGAACACCAGUGGCGAAAGCGGCUUCCUGGUCCAGCACCGACGUUCAGGCACGAAAGCGUGGGGAGCAAACAGG
rnacentral:rRNA from 1 species